rnacentral:lncRNA from 1 species
UCUCUCUCUCACUCUAAUUUCAGUUUGUUUCCACAAUACUCAGAGUAACUUGCUGUUCUUUUUCUUCUUUGUUCCAUCCUUUAUUCUCCUAUGCUCCUUCCUGCAAACUGAGUUUGACCUUUGGAUUUUUUUUUUUUUUUUGGUUACACUUCACCCUGUGUGUGACAAAUAGAGAGAGAGACAGAGAGAGAGAGGAGUUUUUUUAAAUUGCGACAUUAAUUACCUUUUAUUAUUGUACACUCCUACUUAAUUAUUUGGUCUUUAGGGUUGUUCACUAUUAUUUCCUUGUUAUUGUUAUAUAUUUACUGUUGGUUCAUUUAUUUUGAGAUGGAUGUCGACUGCAUGCAUCGCAUUUAGCUGCCAGCUUGUCAUGUCUAAGAUGAACAGACAGCUCUCACCUUGCCAUGUCUAAGAUUGACCAGAUGAUUCUCACCUUGCCAUAUCUAAGGUCGACCAGAUGGCUCUCACCUUGCCAUGUCUAAGGUCGAUCAGAUGGCUCUCACCUUGCCAUGUCUGAGGUUGACCAGAUGGGUCUCCUCUUCGAGUGAGUUCAACAAGAUGGCUCUCACCUUGCCAUGUCUAAGGUUGACCAGAUGGAUCUUGCCUUGCCAUGUCUAAGGUCAAACAGAUGGCUCUUCUUUUUCCAUGUCUAAGGUCGGCCAGAUGACUCUUGCCUUGCCAUGUCUAAGCUCAACCAGAUGGCUUUCAUUUUUCCUUGUCUUCAGUCGACCAGAUGUCUCUCACCUUGCCAUGUCUAGGUCAAUCAGAUGGCUCUCACCUUGCCACAUCUACGAUUGACCAGAUGGCUCUUGCCAUUCUAUGUCUAAAGUCUACCAGAUGGCUCUCAUUUUGUCAUGUUUAAGGUUGUCCAGAUGGCUCUCUCUUUCCCAUUUCUGAGGUCGACUGGAUGGCUCUAGCCUUUCCAUGUCUGAGGCCAACCAGUUGGCUCUCCUUCCCAUGUCUAAAGUUAACCAGAUGGCUCUCACCUUGCCAUGUCUGAGGCAGACUAGAUGGCUCUCGCCUUGCCAUGUCUGAGGUGGACUUGAUGGCUCCCACCUUGCCCUGUCUAUGGUCAACGAGAUGGCUCUCACCUUCCCAUGACUAAGGUGGACCACAUGGCUCUUGAUUUGCCAUGUCUAAGCUAGAUGAGAUGCUUCUUGCCUUACCAUGUCUAAGAUGGAUCUGAAGCCUCUUGCAUUACCAUCUCUAAUGUUGACCAGAUGGCUCUUGCCUUGCCAUGUUUGAGGUUGACCAGAUGCUUGUUGCCUUGCCAUGCCUUAAGUAGACCAUGUGGCUCUCAACUUCCUAUGUCUAAGGUUGACCAAGAUGGCUUUCACCUUGCCAUGUCUGAAGUGGACUUGAUGGUUCCCACCUUGCCAUGUCUAUGGUCGACCAGAUGGCUCUCACCUUCCCAUGACUAAGGUAAACCAUAUGUCUCUUGCCUUGCCAUGCCUAAACUAGACCAGAUGCCUCUUGCCUUUCCAUGCUUAAGGUGGACCCAAACCCUUUUCGCAUUUCCAUCUCUAAAGUCGACCGGAUGGCUCUUUCCUUGCCAUGUCUGAGGUCAAGAUGCCUCUUGCCUUGCCAUGUCUGAAGUAGAUCAGAUGGCUCUCACUUUCCCAUGUCUGAGGUUGACCAGAUGGUUCUCACCUUGCUAUGUCUGAGGCAGACUUGAUGGCUCCCACCUUACCAUGUCUAUGGUCAACAAGAUGGCUCUUGCCUUCCCAUGACUAAGGUGGACCAUAUGGCUCUUGCCUUGCCAUGUCUAAGCUGGACAAGAUGGCUUUAGCCUUACCAUGUUGAAGGUGGACCUGAAGCCUCUUGCAUUCCCAUCUCUAAGGUUGACCAGAUGGCUCUUGCCUUGCCAUGUCUAAGGCUGAUCAGAUGGCUCGCACCUUGCCAU